CCGGGUUUACGGCAUUCGUAAACUGAAAUGUUCAUCAGCGGAGACGUUCGAAAACCAAGAUUCUGGAGGCCUCCUUCAUUCCUUGGCUCCUGACCUCUUCCUUGCAUCACACCAACCUUUGCUUCUGUCAUCACAUCUCCUACAUCCUCCUUUGAGCUUCCUGCCUCCCUUUAUAAGGGCUUUUCUCUUAUAGAUACAGCCGUACUUCAUGAAUGCCUCUGGAACGAUGGGUUAGAACAGGAAAAGAAGCAAUAGAAUGGAUACUUGCCUCUACUGGAAAUAAUACUUCAUUAUGCAAGAAUCUGUGGCACUCGUGCUGUUUGUGAGAAAGGACUGGACUGCUUAAUGACUUUGUGCUCACUUCUACCUAAAUGCCUCUGACUCUCAGAUCAUCUCUAUACUCUCAGGCGGUAUCAGUCUCUGAUCACAGCAGUGACACAAUCCACAAACCUUCUUUGUGUUUGGAGGACAAGAGACGGAGAGAAACUUUUCUGGAGCCUGGACAACAUUAGCCACAAGUACUAAUGUUUACAGUGGUAUUGCUUUACUCUGUGCCAGUGCCAAGGGCUGGGUCCCGAGCAACAAAAGCCCCCAUGCAUUCUUUAACAAAUUUAAUUUUUUGCGGAUUUGUGAUAUGGAGAGCCUCUAAGUCAGGCAAGCUGGCUUCCAUGGCUGUGGGAGGGCUGAUGCCCAUUUGAAGGGGAAACUAGAGGUGUGGCUACAGGUGAACUAUCAGGCCAGGAGCAGGAGUUCAGCCCUCAACUGGGAUGGGGAUAGGGCCAGUCCCUGGGCAGGUAGGUUGGUUGUGGCCAGGCAAUGCGUGACUCAGCACUCAAAAAGGAAUCACGUGGAUGGGACGGGUAUGCGAGUGAUGGGGGAGAAAGAGAACAGCUUGGUGAGCCAAUGGCUCAAGAGCUCCAGACCCCUCUUGCCGAGGGUGAAGCUUUUAGAACAUCCUAAUCUGGAGCAGGACUGACCCUGCAGGUAUCCGGGUACUACCCAAAGACGGUUUGCCCUUGGAAAGAUUUUGGUGGAGCCUUGAGAUGUGAGGACACAAAAGGGAUGGGAGAAAGAUAAAACACUAGCUAUUUAUUUAGUACUGAGAGCGUCUCUUUACAGAAUAUUUAGCACCUAAGUGGUGAGUAGAGUUGGGACACAGAUAUAUUAGAGUUAAUUAGGUUCACUACUAAACCAUAAGCUCCUUCAAGACAGGUUCCAUUAUACUCCCAGUGCCUGACACAUAGUAGGUGUUAACAAAUGUUUUUUCAAUGAACAAUUAAGUGGUAGAGGUAGGAAAUUAACAUGAACACUUGAAGAUGAAUAUGAACAACAAACAGUGGAGGUAGAAAUGCUGGUUUUACAUUUUGGAGAAGGGUGGGGUGCAAAAGAAAAUUCUAGAGAUUGGAGGUUAGAAGAGUUUUGCGCCUCUAGGAUUCAGACUUCCUGCAUAUGAAAUCUUAUUACGGAGAUAUUCAUACAUGGUAAGACAAAGGCAAACAGGAGAGGAACAACUGCAAAGAUGGAGGGACCCAUCAAGUAGAGAUUCUCACCAGCAAAUAGUGAGAAUUUCUCUAGCUCCCCCACACUGGAGUACCCCAUGCGUUUCUCACAACCCUCCCACAAUGUGAUCUCAUUUACUCUAAGCUUCCGUUUGAAGUUGGCUUGCCAUGGGUAUCAUGAAAUCUUCUUUAUGGAAUGGGAAAUGAGGCAGAUGAAGAGUUAGAGACCUAAGAUAACAAGUUAAGGUUGUGUUUGAACAGGGUCUUAGAACUCUGAGCUUCUAGGGAGGAGCAUGCUGCCAGCCAUCACCUCUUUCUGACCGGAGGCAUCUCAAUGGUUUCCUUGGCUGGGCAGAGCCUUCGAGAACAUGGAAAGGCCCGAGAGUUAACAUCUCAACAAAGACCAGCAGCAGGCCACCCCUUGCUGCGUUCCCAAUGACAAGGUGCAUCUUUCACCUCUCAUCCACCAAGCAUUUGGCUUUGAACACGAUGGAGCUUGCAGAGGACUUGGAGAUCCCCGAGGGUGGCAGGUGCUAGAUAUUAACAUAACAUCAACUUUUGUGAAGCAGAACAGCACACUCAGGCUGCUGAUGCGGCGCUCCCCAAAGUUUAGAAAUAUGCAAAACUGGCUCACCGGCAUCUUUACACCUGGCGGAACUUCUUAAUAGCCUCCCCACGCCUCACUCUGCCCAGCAGCAGGCUGUCUUGCACAGCUUGAGCACUCUCACUCUUUUCUCCUCUCUUUGCCUCUUCUCCUGUCGGUGUUUUCCUCCCAGGCUUUUAUACAGCAAGUCAUUUUUCUGGAGUUGUCAUUUACUGCUCCGCCUAACUGCUAUAUCUGAGAGUGGCCGAACUAAUGAUGCAGCAAUUAAGAGUGAU